rnacentral:rRNA from 1 species
AUUGAACGCUGGCGGAAUGCUUUACACAUGCAAGUCGAGCGGCAGCACGGGGGCAACCCUGGUGGCGAGCGGCGAACGGGUGAGUAAUACAUCGGGACAUGCCCAGUCGUGGGGGAUAACACUUCGAAAGAAGUGCUAAUACCGCAUACGUCCUGAGGGGGAAAGCGGGGGAUCGCAAGACCUCGCGCGAUUGGAGUGGCCGAUGUCAGAUUAGCUAGUUGGUGGGGUAAAGGCCUACCAAGGCAACGAUCUGUAGCUGGUCUGAGAGGAUGAUCAGCCACACUGGGACUGAGACACGGCCCAGACUCCUACGGGAGGCAGCAGUGGGGAAUUUUGGACAAUGGGGGCAACCCUGAUCCAGCCAUUCCGCGUGAGUGAAGAAGGCCUUCGGGUUGUAAAGCUCUUUCGGCAGGAACGAAACGGUGAGCUCUAACAUAGCUUGCUAAUGACGGUACCUGAAGAAGAAGCACCGGCUAACUACGUG